GCAAAGCAUGCCCAAGUGUGCUGGUUAGUCACAAGGCAGUUUAGAAUCAAUGGACCGAAAAGAAGUAAGGGUAGUCUUCUGAAGGAGGACAACUUGAAGAGCAGUAGCUAGACCUAGUGAUACAGUCAUUCAUUUCAGUCAUCUUCAUCUUCUUUGAGGCAAGCAUCCAAGUACAGAAGGAAUCUAGGAAGUGUAUCAAAAAAGGUCCUGCGGAGGUUUCACAAUAUGUCUGCAAUAACACACGGUCAUGCCAGAGAAGUGUUAGAAUGGUUGUUUGCAGAGAAUAAAGAAAAUGUGUUAUCUUAUGUGGAGCAGAGUGAGGAUUGGCU
rnacentral:lncRNA from 1 species